ACUGUGGUAUGUCUUCGGAGGAGGAACCCAACUGACUGUCACAGGUCAGCCCCCAGCAUCUCCUUCGGUGCAAGUCUUUGCUCCUUCCGAGCAAGAGAUCAAAA